UACGUAUUUUUCUAUCUUUUUCCUUAAUCACUUUUCUUAAAUCUCACUUAUUCUUACAUUUAAUUCAUUUGUGAAAUCCCAGAGCUCAACUCUGGAACUGCCUUUGAUACUGGGUGUCUUGAGUAUGGAAGAGGUGAGUGGAAUUCCGAGUGUAGAGGUGAAAUUCGUAGAUAUUCGGAGGAACACCAGUGGCGAAGGCGGCUCACUGGUCCAUUACUGACGCUGAGGUGCGAAAGCGUGGGGAGCAAACAGG
rnacentral:rRNA from 1 species